rnacentral:rRNA from 1 species
GUCGUAACAAGGUUUCCGUAGGUGAACCUGCGGAAGGAUCAUUAUUGAAUAAAUCUGAUGUGGUUGUAGCUGGCUCUCCGGAGUAUGUGCACGCCCAUCACCUUUAUCUCACUCCCUGUGCACACACUGUAGGCUUGGAUACCUCUCGCCGGAUAGGCGGAUGCAGAGAUUGCUGGUCCAUCACUGGUCAGCUCUCUUUGAACUUCCAAGUCUAUGAUUUUAUAUACCCCAAACAAAUGUUAUAGAAUGUUUUUGUAUGGCCUUGUGCCUAUAAAUCAAUACAACUUUCAGCAACGGAUCUCUUGGCUCUCGCAUCGAUGAAGAACGCAGCGAAAUGCGAUAAGUAAUGUGAAUUGCAGAAUUCAGUGAAUCAUCGAAUCUUUGAACGCACCUUGCGCUCUUUGGUAUUCCGAAGAGCAUGCCUGUUUGAGUGUCAUUAAAUUCUCAACUCCAUCAGUUUGCAAAAACUUGGUGAAGCUUGGAUGUGGAGGUUUUGCAGGUCCGUCACCGGUCUGCUCCUCUGAAAUGUAUUAGCAGGUUAAGCUACCUGUCUAUUGGUGUGAUAAUUAUCUACAUCGUGGACUAGGAUUGGCAAUAUAUUGACCAGCUUCUAAUCGUCCGCAAGGACAAUUUUGACAAACUUGACCUCAAAUCAGGUAAGACUACCCGCUGAACUUAA